rnacentral:rRNA from 1 species
AGAUUAAGUUAUUAAGGGCGCACGGUGGAUGCCUUGGCACUAGAAGCCGAUGAAGGACGUUACUAACGACGAUAUGCUUUGGGGAGCUGUAAGUAAGCUUUGAUCCAGAGAUUUCCGAAUGGGGAAACCCAGCAUGAGUUAUGUCAUGUUAUCGAUAUGUGAAUACAUAGCAUAUCAGAAGGCACACCCGGAGAACUGAAACAUCUUAGUACCCGGAGGAAGAGAAAGAAAAUUCGAUUCCCUUAGUAGCGGCGAGCGAAACGGGAAGAGCCCAAACCAACAAGCUUGCUUGUUGGGGUUGUAGGACACUCUGUACGGAGUUACAAAGGACGACAUUAGACGAAUCAUCUGGAAAGAUGAAUCAAAGAAGGUAAUAAUCCUGUAGUCGAAAAUGUUGUCUCUCUUGAGUGGAUCCUGAGUACGACGGAGCACGUGAAAUUCCGUCGGAAUCUGGGAGGACCAUCUCCUAAGGCUAAAUACUCUCUAGUGACCGAUAGUGAACCAGUACCGUGAGGGAAAGGUGAAAAGCACCCCGGAAGGGGAGUGAAAUAGAACCUGAAACCGUGUGCUUACAAGUAGUCAGAGCCCGUUAAUGGGUGAUGGCGUGCCUUUUGUAGAAUGAACCGGCGAGUUACGAUUUGAUGCAAGGUUAAGCAGUAAAUGUGGAGCCGUAGCGAAAGCGAGUCUGAAUAGGGCGUUUAGUAUUUGGUCGUAGACCCGAAACCAGGUGAUCUACCCUUGGUCAGGUUGAAGUUCAGGUAACACUGAAUGGAGGACCGAACCGACUUACGUUGAAAAGUGAGCGGAUGAACUGAGGGU